GAGAGAACCUCUUUGUUCUUGAAAGGCCUGCUCUGUGAUGGAGGAAUUGCAAUGCCCAGCAAGCAGGCUGGAAGAUCCCAUGUGGACGUGUCAGGUUGCUUGGCCAUUGAGAAGGAAUGACAGUAGAGCUGAAACGGUCCAGAGCCCAGGAAUCCAACAAAGGCUAAGAAUCAAGGACUGCGAGGAGCUGAGGAUUCCGCCUGUGAUGAAGUAAGCUAUGAAAUGGGCAUGCAUGUGCCAGGAUCCCAGAAGUUCUGAGCUGUUCCUAACUGCACUCACAAGAGGCAGCAGAGACAUAGCAAGAGGAAAGGAGAGUGAGAUCCAGAGCCGUGUCACAGCAAGGUCAAGUGUCUCCAGACAAACGUCACAAGGAGAGCCACAGCCAUAUGCCAAAGCCCUGUGCCCUCCAUGAGGAAAUGGACCAGAUGACAUUGAGGAGCCAGCCUGCCUGGAUUCCUAGUUCCCAAGACCCAGCCCAAAAGCUAAGUAGUAGUAACCAUUCUCUCCUAGAACAGUUGCAUAAAAGACUUGGUAAGAAGAGAGCCCUCUGCACCUUGGGAAAUCCAGAUUAUAAUUCUGUCUUUACUGUAGAUUGAGCCAUAAGACUGCUGUGUGCCUAUCCUUCUUCCCUUUAAAAUGUGUUUCUGUUUGUAUAAGGGGGAUGAUAAUCUGCUCUCUCUCUCUCAAAGAUACCACUGAGAGGGCUUGCUUUCCAUCUGGGGUUGUAUCUCUUCCUUCUUUCUGUGAAUUACUUUUCCCUCCCUGACCUUCAUUUAUUUGAGCUUCACCCAUUGUCCCAGAUAAUGAUAGGAAAGCUCUAGAGUAGACAUAGACAGGAACUCUCUCCCUCACCUCCAUAACCUAUCACCAUCACAUUAUGUUGACUAUGCCCCCAAAAUGUACAAAACCCAUCCAUAUUUUUCUGUAUCCACUGUCAUCACUAGCCUAGACAACUGAGUUUCUAGACAUCAGAGCUAAGAAAGUCUUAACUGGUCUCCUUGCUUGUACUUUUAGCUCUUCUGACCUGUUCUCUAUACCGCAGCCAGAAUAAGAGAAUUGUGUCAUUCCCUGCCUAAUUACUCAGUGGCUUUCCAUUAUACUUGACAUAAAAUCCAAACUCUUAGCAUCCCAUGUGAUAAUAAAGUCCAGUCAGGAAACCAGAAGCCAUUCUUGGUAUUUCAAAUAGGGGACUUAAUAAAAAGAAUUUGUAAAGAAGGUGUAGUAGAACUGGAAAAAAAAAGGGCGGGGGCGAAAACUAAGUGACAGGGAUAGUAACUGUAGGAAACAUAUGGAGUCAG